ACAAAAAAAGAAUUACUCUGAGUAAAUAAACAGAGAAGAUUAAAGGCCUUCCUCUAUGGGGGGCACCGUUUAUGAGGCAGCAAGCCAGGAGAGUUGUUUCUGGGAUUUUGUGAUGCUGCUGCAGCCGUGAACCACAUCUCAUUUCUGAGUUGUUGCAGUUGGGGCUCCUCAGCUUCUGAGUCUUAGCAUCCAGAGGCUCUGAUCUCAGUCCAUGUGUAUGUGCUGGAAGUGUCCCUGCCAGCACACAGGAAACAAAGUCAUGUACAGAUGUCACGGGAGCACAUGAUGGAGUGAGGUGAGCGCGCUGGAAGGGGCUCAAUGAUGAUGAUGAUGACGACGACAACGGGAGAGGCUCUGGGGGGACAGAGCUGGGAGAGAGACGGCAGUGGAGGAGCUCCCCCUGCAAAUUAUUUCAGGCCCUAAAGGAAAUGGGCAACUUGGGAGUCUGAAGGUAAAUAAAAAAUGGGA